rnacentral:rRNA from 1 species
GACGAACGCUGGCGGCGUGCCUAAUACAUGCCAGUAGAACGCUGAAGGAGGAGCUUGCUUCUCUGGAUGAGUUGCGAACGGGUGAGUAACGCGUAGGUAACCUGCCUGGUAGCGGGGGAUAACUAUUGGAAACGAUAGCUAAUACCGCAUAAUAGUAGAUGUUGCAUGACAUUUGCUUAAAAGGUGCAAUUGCAUCACUACCAGAUGGACCUGCGUUGUAUUAGCUAGUUGGUGGGGUAACGGCUCACCAAGGCGACGAUACAUAGCCGACCUGAGAGGGUGAUCGGCCACACUGGGACUGAGACACGGCCCAGACUCCUACGGGAGGCAACAGUAGGGAAUCUUCGGCAAUGGACGGAAGUCUGACCGAGCAACGCCGCGUGAGUGAAGAAGGUUUUCGGAUCGUAAAGCUCUGUUGUAAGAGAAGAACGAGUGUGAGAGUGGAAAGUUCACACUGUGACGGUAUCUUACCAGAAAGGGACGGCUAACUACGUG